rnacentral:rRNA from 1 species
CCUACGGGUGGCAGCAGUGAGGAAUAUUGGUCAAUGGGCGAAAGCCUGAACCAGCCAAGUCGCGUGCAGGAAGACGGCCCUACGGAUUGUAAACCGCUUUUGUAAGGGAGUAAGGCGCCCUACGUGUAGGGCGGUGCAUGUACCUUAAGAAUAAGGAUCGGCUAAUUCCGUGCCAGCCGCCGCGGUAAUACGGAAGAUGCGGGCGUUAUCCGGAUUUGUUGGGUUGAAAGGGAGCGUAGGCGGAAGCGCCAAGUUGGCGGGAAAGGUCCGGGCCUAACCCGGGCCGUGCCGCUUGAACUGGCGGGCUAGAGUGGGCGGAAAGUAGGCGGAAUGCGUGGUGUAGCGGUGAAAUGCUUAGAUAUCACGAAGAACUCCGAUUGCGAAGGCAGCAUGCUGGAGCGCAACUGACGCUGAUGCUCGAAAGCGUGGGUAUCGAACAGGAUUAGAUACCCUAGUAGUC